rnacentral:rRNA from 1 species
GACAGAGGGUGCAAACGUUGUUCGGAAUUACUGGGCGUAAAGCGAGUGUAGGCGGUUCGAUAAGUCGGAUGUGAAAGCCCCGGGCUCAACCCGGGAAGGUGCACUCGAUACUGUCGAGCUAGAGUAUCGGAGAGGUUGGUGGAAUUCCUGGUGUAGCGGUGAAAUGCGCAGAUAUCAGGAGGAACACCGGUGGCGAAGGCGGGUCUCUGGGACGGUACUGACACUGAGACGCGAAAGCGUGGGGAGCGAACAGG